GCUGUGUUUCGGUGGUUUCGCGGUGGUGUUGUGAGCAGUCUAGUCUCGCCGUCCCGGCGAUCGGGCCCCACGGUUGUUCUACCAGCUCCGGCUGCGCUUACAGGGAACUUCUGUGGUCUUCCAGAACUACACUAAUACACUGCAAGUGGACUAACUUAGCUGCUGUGCUUGUUUUGAAACCUGCUGUUACUACAAUAUAAAGGAAAGCAGAGAGGCCAACACAGGAGAGUUUUUUAAAGGGAGAAGCAGCUUGAAUUUGUUCUUCAUAAUUGGAAAAGCUUCUCUGAUUCGAAAUAUAAUAGAAGCAAGAUAAUCGGUAAGUAUUCGGUAAGAUAAAAUGUACUUCUUCUGGGCAGUAGUUUUGAUCAGGCUCAUGUAUAUCCUGUAAGUAUUGUUAAUGUAAAGGCAGCUAAU